rnacentral:pre_miRNA from 1 species
UCUACAUCAGCCGCCGUGUCGUGAUCUGCCUUUGAUGAUGUAGAGGCAGAUCACGACACGGCGGCUUGAUGAUGUAGAG